rnacentral:rRNA from 11 species
ACGGGUGAGUAACACGUGGGCAAUCUGCCCUUCACUCUGGGACAAGCCCUGGAAACGGGGUCUAAUACCGGAUAUCACUUCCACUCGCAUGGGUGGGGGUUGAAAGCUCCGGCGGUGAAGGAUGAGCCCGCGGCCUAUCAGCUUGUUGGUGAGGUAACGGCUCACCAAGGCGACGACGGGUAGCCGGCCUGAGAGGGCGACCGGCCACACUGGGACUGAGACACGGCCCAGACUCCUACGGGAGGCAGCAGUGGGGAAUAUUGCACAAUGGGCGAAAGCCUGAUGCAGCGACGCCGCGUGAGGGAUGACGGCCUUCGGGUUGUAAACCUCUUUCAGCAGGGAAGAAGCGAAAGUGACGGUACCUGCAGAAGAAGCGCCGGCUAACUACGUGCCAGCAGCCGCGGUAAUACGUAGGGCGCAAGCGUUGUCCGGAAUUAUUGGGCGUAAAGAGCUCGUAGGCGGUCUGUCGCGUCGGAUGUGAAAGCCCGGGGCUUAACCCCGGGUCUGCAUUCGAUACGGGCAGACUAGAGUGUGGUAGGGGAGAUCGGAAUUCCUGGUGUAGCGGUGAAAUGCGCAGA